UACGUAGGGUGCAAGCGUUGUCCGGAAUUAUUGGGCGUAAAGAGCUCGUAGGCGGUCUGUCGCGUCGGCUGUGAAAACCCGGAGCUCAACUCCGGGCCUGCAGUCGAUACGGGCAGACUGGAGUUCGGCAGGGGAGACUGGAAUUCCUGGUGUAGCGGUGAAAUGCGUAGAGAUCCGGAGGAACACCAGCGGCGAAGGCGGCAUCCUGGACUGGUCCUGACACUCAGGAGCGAAAGCGUGGGGAGCGAUCCGG
rnacentral:rRNA from 1 species